AAGUGACUCAAAUAGGAUUUCUUUUGCCUUAAUGUGACACAGAUCUGAUAUUUUCAGGGCUGUGUGGACACGCAAAUCUGAUCUUUUGAAAUCGGACUUGUGUCACUUUCAUUCGUGGUACUAAAUCGAAUACGUAUCCGAUUCGCGGCCAUGCGACUUGAAUGUGAACGCUCAGAUCGGAAUUCAAGUGGCUUUUUGCUUAUACGCAUGCGCUGAAAUCAUCAAUCUGCACUGGCAGCCUCGUACCCACACAUCUCUUGGUGCAGCAGUCUCAGCAAUAACUGAGAAAACAGAAAAAGCUAGCCGCCUGAUUUUUUUCUCAUUUUCGAUCUGCUCAUGUACAGCUGAUUCAUUGUUUAUAGUCCUCCAGAGCAAAGCGAGUGAGCUACUAACGCCUCCAUUUUUAAUGCCAUGAGUCGUCCCAUAGAUAUGACGUUUUUUGUUGUUGGUGACGCAGUUAACCUGUGUAAAACAUAUCAAUGCGCGCAUGCGUGACGUUUCGGAGGAUCGAUGCGUUCACAUUGCAGUCAGAUACAGGUCACUUGUAGUUAUGAAUGUGAACCGUCAAGAUAGACAAAUCCGAUCUGAGCAAAAAAUCGGAAUGGAACGAUGUGGCUGGCAGUGUGAACGUAGCCAUACUGUCAUAGGCUGAAUAAUGGUGCGUUCGAUUAUCUUUCUGAAGUCGAAAAUUCCGAGGCGCGUGACUUGAUCGUACUUGUGUUCUCGUGCACCCGUUUUACGUCAUCUUCCAUUGCCGAAGACCAGUUCCAAUACUAUACUGAUCACAAGAUGCGAGGACCGUAAAAUCCCCGGAUGUUAGUCUUGCUCCUCCCCAAAUAUCAAGGAUACUUGCAUCUUUGCCAAACGAGAAGAAUCCCGUAAUUCAUUGCGUGCAGUUGCGAUGGAGAAGGAAGAAGUUACGAGACAUAUCUGAAAAGACUGGAAACAAUCCUGUAAGAUGCAAUCAACGAUGUUAUUCCGUUCAUCUCCGAAAAUGUUGGUGAGUGGAUCCAUCUCGCAGAGGAGUUACUGAGCAGCUAUGGAAAUAACAGGCAAAAAGGUAGAUACCUUAUUUCCCCAGCGAUAAGCCACCCCACUUUAUAGGCCACUACAUUCAUUUUAUGAACAAGCACUUAUGAAUAAUAAAACAAAUUUCACAUAGUCAAAAAUACCUGAAAUCACCAGUCUCUCUAAUUCACAGAAAAAUACCAUAGUUUGAAAAAUGAGGAUUUCAUAAACAAAAUGUAAUGCGUUUUGUUAUUUAUGAAGCUUUCAAGCUGCCCUCACACUCAAGGUCAGGUGCUCAGUACAUGAUUGGCAGUGAUUGGCCACAGUGUUGUGUCAGUCAUAUUGAAGUGAACAACUAUCCUAUCACAGUAGGCAUUUCUUUCACGGGUGGGACUUAUUUGCCAUAAGAAUUCAUUGAACCUGGAAAAUCCACCAGCCGCCAGGGUCUGGGAUGAUUAUCAUCUAAUGGGGGAAAAUAUUGAUCGAGGUGAAGCUUGUUUCACUGAGAUUCUCUGUUUCACCGCGGUUGGAAGUGGCGCUGUUUCAAGAGUUUGACCAGAGCCGUAAACUGUUGAGGAGCUGAAAUUAGAAGAUGCACCUUAUUUUUAUGAGCAUUUUAUGGUUUCACACCAAUAAAAAGUGAUUGUCAUGAAGAUUAUUUUUUCUUGGUGAAACAUUGUUUCACCUGCAGUCUUGUAGGAGCCGCCACUGGUGUACAACAGGUAUAAACGAAAGUUUUUUGGGUUAAAAGUGAAACAUUACUUUUACACAUAUCUGGGUUAUACUUAAAUGAACAUUCAGUAAUAAAGUUGUGUUUAACGGAUCAGGUUCCAGGGGUUUUCCAAGUUUAAAUGAAAUCUGUUUGCUGUUAUGGUAUUAUAUGCUGUUAUGUACGGCUUUGUUAAAACUUUAUUACAUUAGGUUACCAUAACAUCUACUUAGUUCCCUUCUCUUCUAGCGUAUCUUGGGUCACACGGGUCACCAAGCAGAAAACGAAUGUAUUGCAAGUUAAUGCAAAACUCCAGCGAGCAAAAUAACCCAGCUAGCCUUCCAAUUUAUAUCUACUAAAAAUAGAUAUAAAAAAUGAGUGGGGGAGCCGGACCAGCAUGCUACCAUUUGCUGUUGUGGACUUUUUGGCUGGUGGAGGUGGUGUUGUACCUUGCAAGUGGUUCACAGGACCAGAAGAAGAUACUUGUCACUGUCCACCAGGAAAAGUUAACAGUCAUUUGCAAGGCACUGAAGGAAGAAAUUGUUCCAAGCACAGACUGGCCACAGUUUAAAGUGUGUGUCUUGGGAAAAGCAGAAACAUUGCCCAUGCAAGAACAAAACUUCUGAAGUGUAAGGCGAACUCUGACCUGCACGUACAGUCAGAAUCUGGAGGAGGAAUGGGGAAAAGAAAGUGGAGAAGGAGGCAAAGAAACCUGACAGGGUCUGAUGAAGAAUCAGGCUGUACUAGGCAUCCACCAUCCAGUGCUGGGCAUCCACCUCCUCCAGUUACAGAGAAUCUGCUGUUAAAGACUACUCGCUCACUCAGCACCCGUCCCUUUGUUUGUAUGGUUGCCAGAGACUGCAUAUUAUGCUUUCCGGAAAGCCUGCUUGGACAUGGCUGCCCAUCUGGAAUAGGAGGGUGCCUCGCCAUGCAGUGUGACCAGGUACAUGGCUGGCGGUGGUGAGCGGGCUGGUCACCUGAUCGAGUGAGACUGUACAGUGGGGCUGCUGCUGGUGUGGUACUGUUGGAAGGUGAGCGAUGUCCCCAUUAGUCUGGAGCCUGGAAACUUUGUGGAUAAGGAAUUCUAAUACCACCUGUGGCUGGCUGUGUCUGCAAAAGACUUGGCCAUUCUGAGAGCGCUGUUGGACGUCAUUCCGGUUUUGUAUAGUUCUGAAAGAAACUCUGUGGAAAUGAGAAAGUUGGAGCGUAGAAUAAGAGGAGAUGCGUCUAUCGCUUUCCUGCAAUAAACGCUUUGCACCCCUACAGCAGUCUCUUUGUGUCUAUGAAAGUGGCUGGGAGGGGAGUGGGUAGUGUGUGUGUUUCUGUGAAACUGGCAGGGAGGGGAGUGACCCCCCUUUUCUUUAAUAUGCAGCUAUUUGAAGAAAAGUUGUUUUUGAAGUUGGGGCGAGUAGAUUUCACAUACAGCUGUUAUUUACAACCCCGUAGGUCAUCCCGGUCAAACCGUAACGGUCUCUGUCCGUGCACAAUUACAUAUAGAAAAUAAGCACCAGCCACACAUCAAAUUGAUAUUUUGCCUGUUUUUGUGCAUAAAAAGCUUUUCUUGAGGUUAGGGGGUAAAGUUGGGGAAAAGUAGUUUUCCCAUACAGCUGUUAUUUAUACUCCCCAUAGAUCAUCCCGGGUCGAGUGUGACGUAUCCUGUGUGUUUCUGUGCAUAACUACAAACAGAAGACAAAAGAAAACACCGUGAUGUCAAAUAGACAUUCGACAUAAUUAAUAAAUAAGAUCAUCGGAGGAACGCAACCAGCCACAGAUAUUUAUUACGCUGAGCGGCCACCGUGCCAGUUUCCCCCCCCUUCUGUAAAGAAACAGAAGUAUCCCAAGUAUCAUCUAUGGCCUUACCCUCCCCCCACUGGAAAAAGAAACCUACACAGGAGUUCCAUAUAGAUUGCGGUAUUCUGUGUUCUUUCUAUGUGAGACGACGCGGAUCGAGGGGGGUCUGUCGAGAGACAAUCUACGUAAGACCUGAAUCAGCAGGUAUGGACGGAGCAACACUCCCCUCCUAUACCCGAAGCCUUAUUAGAAGAAAUGGACAACAUCAACAAUGCGGUCGGACCUAAUAAUGAAAAUGAUACGCUUUACUUUGUUCAACAUGACUCGACACCUGCAGUGUCUACUGAAGCGAGGGUCAAAGAGCCCUGUUUCCCACUGUCCUUAGAGACAUUAUUAAGCAUGAUAAAUGAAAGGCUUUGGAAUAAUCGCCUAUAAUGAUGCACUAUAACAAAAUCAAACGUGACGUGAAAACGUUUCACCUGUUUCACCUCUCGCUAAAAAGGUCAGGGUCAUUUACAACGAAGGCAGAUUGUUGACUAGUGGGGAAACUUUGCCUUUUGGGUACUGACGUCUACAGCUACUAUUAUACCUAGCUGAAAUCAGUUUUAGGUUGGAUAUUCAACGGACAUUCAGAUCUAGACCCUCCAGACUAGCCAGCAUAAGGCAGUCGAAAGACGGCCAGAUCAGUUCCACAGCCUCGGAGAUGCUCAAGCACCACUGAAUUAGGGACCGUCAACGAAUUACUGUCAGAAUAAUAAAAUACUGAUUGCUUGCAAUAACUUCAAUGCAAUGGGAUCCAGUAACUACAAAAUGGGUGCAUAUUCUGCAACUACCUCACAUACACAGGACACAGUGAAUUUUACUCUUUUUUUUUUUUACUCUCUCUUUAUUGUAUUCUAUAUGAUCAUUUUAAAAGUAAAAAUGGGUAAAAAGAUUUUUUUCCAAUAGCUUCUAGGCAAUGGGACCUUAUGGCCCCCAAAUGGGUGCAAAUUAUAGUAUAUAGUAUAUAGUAUAACUAUAGGACACAGCAACUUUCAUUCAGUUUUAACCCUUUGUGUACUUGAAGUGAUUUUUUUUUUCUCUAAAAUUAGGGCUAUUUUUUCAAUAGCUCCUAGGCCAUAGGAGCCUGUAACCCAAAACCAGGUGCCAAUUGUAGUGCUACCCGAGGCCUAUAGGGUAACUUUCAUUUGAUUUUAACCUUUUGUUUUUAAUAGCUCUGAGGCCAUGAGAGCCUGCGACCCAAAACCUGGUGCAAACCACUCCGUAAAGUCUUCUCCAGCACAUCCCAAAGCCUAUCAGUGGGGUUAAGGUCAAGACUCCGUGGCAGCGAAAUCAUGAGUGAAAAUCUUUUCUCAUGUUCCUGAACCAUUCUUUGACAAUUCUAGCCUCAUAAAUCUUGCCAUUAUCAUCCUGGAAUAUGCCCAUGCCAUUAGGAAAGAAAAAAAAUCUAUUGAUGGGAUAACCUGGCCAUUCAACAGAUUCAGGUACUCAGCUGACUUCACUUUAUUGUUGCAUAACGUUGCUGAGCUGUAAUAAUGAUCCAAUCAUUGGCUUUUAAGUACUUGCUGAUUUAAAUUCAAAUGGUGAAAUUUUUUGGCCGGGCAGUGUAUGUUGAAUGCUUGAAUUGUUGAGACAAUUUUUGGUUACAUCAUCCCCUACAGCUGCAUUUACACCAAAUUAGGUGUAGUGCUUUGGGGCCACCUUGAUUUAAUUUGGACAUCACGAUUUUAAAAUUUUCCAUUAUUGACAAUGUACAUCAAAAAGUAAACUGCAGCUGUCACGCUGAGGCAUGAUUCAAGGUCCACUAGGUGUCUUGCAGGACAAAGGGAACUUUAUUACAAACACAACUCUAAUGACUUAGAAACAAAUGGAGACCAAGUGUUACGUGCCGUAAGGUUCAGGGGAGGGGUUGCCCUGCAGGUUCUGCUCGUUAUCAUUCGCAUCUUGCUCCCUUCGACUCCGCCUCCCGGACCUGGCCACGCCCCCAUCUUUGACGCUGCUUCUGGAUCUCAGACUGAAAAGGCCAUGGUGGGAGAACAGCGGCAGCUAUGCUCACUGUUUGACUAUUGUUUGGUUUGUUUGGUUUUAGAUUUAUGGUGUAUGACAGUUUUUGGUCUAUUGGUUUCCGACUUUCAUUUUGCCCUCUUGUACCUCCGCUUUGGUUUGACUGUUUCUUUGGUUUGAUCUCCCGCCUGCCUGUUGAUGAUUCUUUUGCUUACCCCCUCGGACACUGUCGCUCUGGUUUUGUGUUUCCUGUAUGUUCGUGUCUGUCUCGGUGCGUAAGGAGUGACUGCCUUUUUGUUUAUGCGUAUGUGUGGUUUACUGUGGUUUUGGCUAGGGAGUUAGAUUUAUUUUUUGUCAUUUCGUUUUCUCGUUUUCAUUUCCUUUAGAAUUAGCUUAGCUUGGGGAAUCAUUUGUUAGCGCUGUUUUGUUUAUUGUUUUGGCCCAUGUCACUCCCGAAGUCUGUUGCACCUUGUUUUUGUAAAAGUGUCUGUGAUUAAAUAUAAAAAAUACAAAAAAGGUCCCUUUGUUUCCCAUGUUCCCUUUUCCCAUCCCUUGGUUGUCUCGUUUUCCCCUCUCCUUUCCCUUUACCUUUCUGUCGGUCCUCAACCCUAGACUGGGGAUCGUAACAAUAGGAUGUUGGUGGUUGUUCAAUUUCAAGUUGUGGUUGCGAUUAAGUAAAAGAUAAAAAGUAGUGAUAAUAUAGCAAAGCAGUGGCAAAACUACAUUCUUAAAGCAGGUUAUAUGCACUAAGAUAAGAAUUAUAGAGAAGUCCCCCUCUACAUCACCAGUCACAAAAAUAAUUCAAAUUUAGGCUUAGCCAGAUUUAGGUUGAUAAAGGGAUACUUUUUGUAUUAAGCUCUUGUCAAACUUGCCAUGGUUAAUAUAUGAUUUUGACCUGAUGCAUAAUCUUCGCUUCACAUUUCGAACAUUACAUUCUUCUUCCAGAACUGCUUUUGGAUUCCCCACUGAAUUAUGAAUUUAAAGGCAUUACUCUGGACUCUUAUGGACUGUGCUUUGUGGACUUCUGGACUGUAGUGGAUAUACUGGUGGUGACCUUUGCCUGUCUAACAAGCGAGUUUUCCAGAGCGGUCAUUAUAAUACACACACUGGAUAGUUCCCCUUUCCCACUUUUUUUGUCUUCUAAUAAAUUGUUUUAUUUAUGUAUGUUUUAACAAUGUAUGUUCAUGUGAUCCUCUUAGUUUUUAAAGUCCAAACUUAAUUGUUUGUGGUGAGAGGAAA